UACGGAGGGUGCAAGCGUUAUCCGGAUUCACUGGGUUUAAAGGGUGCGUAGGCGGGUUGGUAAGUCCGUGGUGAAAUCUCCAAGCUUAACUUGGAAACUGCCGUGGAUACUAUCAAUCUUGAAUAUAGUGGAGGUGAGCGGAAUAUGUCAUGUAGCGGUGAAAUGCUUAGAUAUGACAUAGAACACCCAUUGCGAAGGCAGCUCACUAACCGAUCAUUGACGCUGAGGCACGAAAGCGUGGGGAUCAAACAGG
rnacentral:rRNA from 1 species